rnacentral:tRNA from 2 species
GGGUGUAGCUCAAUGGUAGAGCAGCAGCCUUCCAAGCUGAAUAUGAGGGUUCGAUUCCCUCACCGGGUCCA